rnacentral:misc_RNA from 1 species
GAUGAAGAACGCAGCGAAAUGCGAUAAGUAAUGUGAAUUGCAGAAUUCAGUGAAUCAUCGAAUCUUUGAACGCACAUUGCGCCCGCCAGUAUUCUGGCGGGCAUGCCUGUUCGAGCGUCAUUUCAACCAUCAAGCCCCCGGCUUGUGUUGGGGACCUGCGGCUGCCGCAGGCCCUGAAAACCAGUGGCGGGCUCGCUAGUCACUCCGAGCGUAGUAAUACAUCUCGCUCAGGGCGUGCUGCGGGUUCCGGCCGUUAAAAAGCCUUAUUUACCCAAGGUUGACCUCGGAUCAGGUAGGAAGACCCGCUGAACUUAAGCAUAUCAAUAGCCGAGGA